rnacentral:rRNA from 1 species
UGGCGGCGAGUGGCGAACGGGUGAGUAAUAUAUCGGAACGUACCCAAGAGUGGGGGAUAACGUAGCGAAAGUUACGCUAAUACCGCAUACGAUCUAAGGAUGAAAGCAGGGGAUCUUCGGACCUUGUGCUCCUGGAGCGGCCGAUAUCUGAUUAGCUAGUUGGUGAGGUAAAGGCUCACCAAGGCCACGAUCAGUAGCUGGUCUGAGAGGACGACCAGCCACACUGGAACUGAGACACGGUCCAGACUCCUACGGGAGGCAGCAGUGGGGAAUUUUGGACAAUGGGCGAAAGCCUGAUCCAGCAAUGCCGCGUGAGUGAAGAAGGCCUUCGGGUUGUAAAGCUCUUUUGUCAGGGAAGAAACGGUGAGGGCUAAUAUCCCUCGCUAAUGACGGUACCUGAAGAAUAAGCACCGGCUAACUACGUGCCAGCAGCCGCGGUAAUACGUAGGGUGCAAGCGUUAAUCGGAAUUACUGGGCGUAAAGCGUGCGCAGGCGGUUUUGUAAGUCUGACGUGAAAUCCCCGGGCUCAACCUGGGAAUUGCGUUGGAGACUGCAAGGCUAGAAUCUGGCAGAGGGGGGUAGAAUUCCACGUGUAGCAGUGAAAUGCGUAGAGAUGUGGAGGAACACCGAUGGCGAAGGCAGCCCCCUGGGUCAAGAUUGACGCUCAUGCACGAAAGCGUGGGGAGCAAACAGGAUUAGAUACCCUGGUAGUCCACGCCCUAAACGAUGUCUACUAGUUGUCGGGUUUUAAUUAACUUGGUAACGCAGCUAACGCGUGAAGUAGACCGCCUGGGGAGUACGGUCGCA